rnacentral:rRNA from 1 species
UAGGGAAUCUUCCACAAUGGACGCAAGUCUGAUGGAGCAACGCCGCGUGAGUGAAGAAGGUUUUCGGAUCGUAAAGCUCUGUUGUUGGUGAAGAAGGAUAGAGGCAGUAACUGGUCUUUAUUUGACGGUAAUCAACCAGAAAGUCAUGGCUAACUACGUGCCAGCAGCCGCGGUAAUACGUAGGUGGCAAGCGUUGUCCGGAUUUAUUGGGCGUAAAGCGAGCGCAGGCGGAAUGAUAAGUCUGAUGUGAAAGCCCACGGCUCAACCGUGGAACUGCAUCGGAAACUGUCAUUCUUGAGUGCAGAAGAGGAGAGUGGAAUUCCAUGUGUAGCGGUGGAAUGCGUAGAUAUAUGGAAGAACACCAGUGGCGAAGGCGGCUCUCUGGUCUGCAACUGACGCUGAGGCUCGAAAGCAUGGGUAGCGAACAGG